CCUGCUGUGAAACUUUUCUUGUAUAAAGCUCAAUUUCUCUAUGAUCACGGAAGUAAACAUUCUGAUGCAUUUUUGUCAUGUGCAUGUUUAGACCACUUUCAUUUUUGAAAUCUCCUUUCUGACAGACAUAUUUCACAGUCAUCAACAUGGAAGAUAUGGUUUGUUCCUAACCAUCUAUAAUCAAUUCUCUAUGAAGUUCAGACUGUCUGCUGUUCCUUUGGAAAUACACAGUUAGUCAACCAUCAUAGAAACACAUAAACUUGAAGGAUUCUCUAGUGAGGGCUUAUGGAAAUGAUCUAUGUCUACUCUCAGAAUGGUGAAAGACUAUCAGAUUAUGCAAAGACUAACAGAAUAUCCUCUCUUGGAACACUGAAACAAGAAAACCAAACUUAAGAAGAUGGAGGAUUUAAGAAGAACAGAGAUAAAUAUGAUUUCCAACUAAUUUAACCAGUACGGUCAUAGACUGUGGUUUACAGGGUGACAAAGAAAGGACCCAGGAUUGUAUCAUUU